UACGUAGGGUGCAAGCGUUGUCCGGAAUUAUUGGGCGUAAAGAGCUCGUAGGCGGUCUGUCGCGUCGAAUGUGAAAACCCGGGGCUCAACUCCGGGCCUGCAUUCGAUACGGGCAGACUAGAGUUCGGUAGGGGAGACUGGAAUUCCUGGUGUAGCGGUGAAAUGCGCAGAGUAUCAGGAGGAACACCGGUGGCGAAGGCGGGUCUCUGGGCCGAUACUGACGCUGAGGAGCGAAAGCGUGGGGAGCGAACAGG
rnacentral:rRNA from 1 species